AACAGGUAUUUAUUUUCUCACAAUUCUGGAGGCCGGAAGUCCAAGAUCAAGGUGCUGGCAGGGUUGACUUCUUCUGAGGCCUCUCUCCUCCGCUUGCAGGCGGCUGCCUUCUCCCUGUGUCUUCACGUGGCCU
rnacentral:miRNA from 1 species